CAGUCGCCACGGGAACACGUAGGGUGCGAGCGUUAAUCGGAAUUACUGGGCGUAAAGCGUGCGCAGGCGGUUGUGUAAGACAGGUGUGAAAUCCCCGGGCUUAACCUGGGAACUGCGCUUGUGACUGCACAGCUAGAGUAUGGCAGAGGGGGGUGGAAUUCCACGUGUAGCAGUGAAAUGCGUAGAGAUGUGGAGGAACACCGAUGGCGAAGGCAGCCCCCUGGGCCAAUACUGACGCUCAUGCACGAAAGCGUGGGGAGCAAACAGGAUUAGAUACCCGGGUAGUCCCUGUCUCUUAUAC
rnacentral:rRNA from 1 species